UACGUAGGGGGCAAGCGUUGUCCGGAAUCAUUGGGCGUAAAGAGCGUGUAGGCGGCCAGAAAAGUCCGCUGUGAAAACUCGAGGCUCAACUUCGAGCUGUCGGUGGAAACUUUCUGGCUAGAGUCCGGAAGAGGAGAAUGGAAUUCCUGGUGUAGCGGUGAAAUGCGCAGAUAUCAGGAAGAACACCCGUGGCGAAGGCAGUUCUCUGGGACGGUACUGACGCUGAGACGCGAAAGCGUGGGGAGCGAACAGG
rnacentral:rRNA from 1 species